rnacentral:rRNA from 1 species
AUGGCCCGCCGCACGGCCCUCAUCCUCGCCGCGCUCCUCCUCGUCGCCCUGGCCGUCGCGCCGUUGGCCAAUGCCAAGAAGGCCGCCAAGGAGGAGAAGGCCUCCGACGCCCCCUCGGCCGACGCGCCGGCCGCCGACUCACCCGCGGAGGGGCCCUCCGAUGGACCGGCGGCUGCCCCCGGGCCUGAGGGCAUCGCCGGCCUCUCGCCCGACAACGACGACAACGACGACAAGUGA